rnacentral:lncRNA from 1 species
GCUAGUGAAAUUUGAAUUCAAACAUGUGUUGAUGUUGCUUUGCAUUUCCAGAUUGUUCGUUGAAUACUAUAUAUCACUUGUUAUGUAGGAGUGUAGGACAUUCAAGUCUUAACUCUAAACAAUACAUAUAAUGUAUUCUUGUGUUUUUGGGGAUUUUGGUGAUAUACGUUCUAGAUGAUAGCUAUUUGUGUUUACGAUGUAAAUGGCGAGACAAAUUAACAAACUAGAAAAUGUUGUAAAAUUAUCGAGUUAAACAUGGAACGGUACGUAGCAUCUGUUGAUCAUUCGAUUUUUUUUUUAUUAAUAAUUAGGAGGACUGAAGAAACUCUUAUAAAUUUUUUUUUUUUUGUAAGCUAACUCUUAUAAAUUAGAUGCAUAGUUGUUCGAGUUUCACUUCUCUUACUUUGUAUCUUAAGAUCUAUAUGUAUAAUGGCCAAAAUAUUCAGACAUAUAUACAGACAAAUGAUUUCAGGUAUAUGAGAUAAUGAACACCCUUCCUCACAAAUUAGAUAAAAUUUAUUCGUGAUGGCUGUAGAAAUUGUCUCUGGCCAUCAUAAAUCGGAAGAAACAAAGUCAGAGAAGUGAUACUCCAACAACUAUACAUCUAAUUUAAGAGUUUCCUCAUUUCUCCUAAGUAUU